rnacentral:rRNA from 1 species
AGCAGCCGCGGUAAUUCCAGCUCCAAUAGCGUAUAUUAAAGUUGUUGCAGUUAAAAAGCUCGUAGUUGAAUUUCGGGAUCAGUUGAUCGGUCGUGCCUCGGUACGUACUGGUCAAAUUGAUUCCUACCUUCUGACGAACCACGAUGUCAUUAAUUUGGUGUCGCGGGAAAUCAGGACUGUUACUUUGAAAAAAUUAGAGUGUUUAAAGCAGGCUCGCGCUUGAAUACAUUAGCAUGGAAUAAUGAAAUAGGACGUUUGAUUCUAUUUUGUUGGUUUCUAGGAUCGACGUAAUGAUUAAUAGGGAUAGUUGGGGGCAUUAGUAUUCAAUUGUCAGAGGUGAAAUUCUUGGAUUUAUUGAAGACUAACUACUGCGAAAGCAUUUGCCAAGGAUGUUUUCAUUAAUCAAGAACGAAAGUUAGGGGAUCGAAGACGAUCAGAUACCGUCGUAGUCUUAACCAUAAACUAUGCCGACUAGGGAUCGGACGAUGUUAAUUU